UACGUAGGGUGCAAGCGUUUGUCCGGAAUUAUUGGGGCGUAAAGAGCUCGUAGGUGGCCUGUCGCGUCGGCUGUGAAAACUCGGGGCUCAACUCCGAGCUUGCAGUCGAUACGGGCAGGCUAGAGUUCGGCAGGGGAGACUGGAAUUCCUGGUGUAGCGGUGAAAUGCGCAGAUAUCAGGAGGAACACCGGUGGCGAAGGCGGGUCUCUGGGCCGAUACUGACACUGAGGAGCGAAAGCGUGGGGAGCGAACAGG
rnacentral:rRNA from 1 species